rnacentral:rRNA from 1 species
UGGUGGAGUGAUUUGUCUACUUAAUUGUGUUAACGAACGAGAUCUUCAUCGUCUACUUGUUUUCAAUGUAGAGAGAUUAAUCACCUUUCGUGAUUUGAAACUGAAGGUAAUAACA